GGAACAUUAAGCCUAAUUGGUAAGGCAGCGGUUUGCUAAACCGUCAGUAAGCGUAAGCUGUACAGGUUCAAGUCCUGUAUGUUCCGCCA
rnacentral:tRNA from 1 species